UACAGAGGGUGCAAACGUUGCUCGGAAUUAUUGGGCGUAAAGCGCGUGUAGGCGGUUUGGAAAGUCGACCGUGAAAGCCCUCGGCUCAACCGAGGAAGUGCGGCCGAAACUAUCAGACUUGAAUACCGAAGAGGAUGGCGGAAUGCGCAGUGUAGAGGUGAAAUUCGUAGAUAUUGCGUAGAACACCCGUGGCGAAGGCGGCCAUCUGGGAGGCUAUUGACGCUGAGACGCGAAAGCGUGGGGAGCAAACAGG
rnacentral:misc_RNA from 1 species